rnacentral:lncRNA from 1 species
CACCCAGCUGACACUCCCAAGCCUCCACUAUGUAGAAAUUCUGGAACCCCAGUGAUCUGUAAAGCACAUCAGCCGCCACCUGCCUCUCAGACCUACAUGCUUGAGGAGCUGAGCAUUCAUAUUUUUGAAGCAGAUAAUAUCAAAAACUCUGGCUAUGAGGCCCAGGAUUUUUCAAGGCUCCACAGGCAAUUGUAAUACGCAACCCAAAAUAACUGCUAUACAUGAAAAAACCAAGUGUUAAUUAUAAGGAUUUUAUUUUGAAACUACCAGUCUGUUUUAC